rnacentral:rRNA from 1 species
AGCGAACGCUGGCGGCAGGCUUAACACAUGCAAGUCGAGCGGGCAUCCUUGUGGUGUCAGCGGCAGACGGGUGAGUAACGCGUGUGAACGUGCCCUUCGGUUCGGAAUAACUCAGGGAAACUUGAGCUAAUACCGGAUACGUGCGAGAGCAGAAAGGUUUAUCUGCCGAAGGAUCGGCCCGCGUCUGAUUAGCUAGUUGGUGAGGUUAUGGCUCACCAAGGCGACGAUCAGUAGCUGGUCUGAGAGGAUGAUCAGCCACACUGGGACUGAGACACGGCCCAGACUCCUACGGGAGGCAGCAGUGGGGAAUAUUGGACAAUGGGGGCAACCCUGAUCCAGCCAUGCCGCGUGAGUGAUGACGGCCUUAGGGUUGUAAAGCUCUUUUCUCCGGGACGAUAAUGACGGUACCGGAGGAAUAAGCCCCGGCUAACUUCGU